UUUUGAAUAAAUCGCUUGAAUAAAUAAUUCAAUGACUCACUCACUCAAGUGUGGAUAUCUGCAGGUAGGAGUAAUGAGCAUGCCGAAAGUAGGGGGCUUGCAAAAGGUCUUUACAAUUGGUAGGGCUAGGAGUUCAUUUCUGUUGUAGCAUUGUGUAGGCUAUCUUUCAGCACGCCAUUUUUCCGAUCAGCAGUUAUCCCUGUCUCGGUCGGACCCGUCACCCCCUAUCUGCAAAACGAUUUAAUGUACAGAAUUCAGAGUCACUGAAAAACCCCACCAAACAGACAAGCGAAGUAACACAAUCAGUAAAAGUCCUGUUACAAAUAUGAGAUAUCCACAAAACCUUUAAGUGAAAAUGCCACAUGACACAACAUAUUUUAAAAUAUUUGCAGCACAUAUUUCAAACAUUUGCAGCACCAGCAUAAUAAUAAGCCUACUUUUCAAAGUAGUGAUGGAUUUUGUACUUUAGUUCACCAUGUUUCCACUGAUAUUUAGGAGCAGAAAGACGUGACUUAUACGGAGAUUGCCACAUUCAGUAAAAAUCAAGGCAAAAAUAACAAGGUUCAUGGUGAUGAUAAAGUGACUUACGCUUCCAUCAGAGGAGCAACAGCUGGACUUCAGGAUAACUGCAGUCAACUUUAUGCCUCUGUGAACGAGAACCGUCACAAAUAACUGAAUCAGUUA